CUGAAGGAUUGAAUUCCUCAGAGACUUAGAGGUGGGACCUGUCCCCUGCCCCUAUUGUUCAUGUACCUCUCGAAGGAGCUGAAGGGUAAACUCAGGCUACUGUGAAUUCCUAGAAUGACAGCGAUGAUAAAUCAAGGCAUCUUGCCAGUGCUUUGUCUGUGUGAUUUUUUUUUUUUUUUUUUUCCCUGCUGUAGAAAUGGAAGUUGACAUCUGUGUCUAAUGUGUGAGGCUGUGACCUCUGAAAUCCACUGAUGGAUGCUGCCACAAGGCCCUUGUGCAUCACUGAAGGCUGCUCUGCAGAGGCUCUGCCCUUGCUGUGCCAGCUGUUGUGCAGCCAGGGUGAGAGCACCACAUGAGCAGGCACCCUCACGGUGUCCCAGGGCUCUCGCCUCCAGCUGGGAAUGCAGGAAGGCUGCUGUCUCCUUGGGGCAGAAGCUAGGCUGGCCAUGGUCAGGCUCAUGUGGCAAGAGAAAGCAUGCUGUGAAUGUACUUAGGCAUGUGGCAUGGUGUCAGAUCAUCUCUGACUCCCCCCCGCCCCCCAGUAUGCUGUUAUCAGAUUCCAGCUGCUGCCAGUAGCUGGGCCUCUGCUUCUUUGGAGCUUUAGGUUUAGGGCUGAGCAGUUGGUGAAAAGAGUAGUAGGCUGGAGAUAAGAGCGUGCCUCCAACUCUGGAAAGAUCAGAGACCAAGCUAAGCAUUUAAUUCUGUCCUCCUAGGUUAGCAUCGUAUGCUCCUGGAGAAGUCCACCAGUGCUUUCUGGAAACCUUUCUCCCUUCUGUCUGAUCUGCUGAGGCUGCUUCUGAUAAAGGCUAUUUAGUUCUGCCUUCUUGGCUUGGGCUGCAUGCUGUGAGUCUGGAGGAGCCGUGACCUGGAGGGACCAUCUGUUUCUCUGGUGGCAGGCAGGAGCGGUGGGUGCCAGGGAGGAAGGAUGCAGUUCCUCUAUGCUGCUGUUCCUGUGCCUCCUCGCUGUCUGGAUGGAGAGGCUUGGGAGCAACCAACUUCCCUCCCUGCAUCAGAACCCCUCUGGUCACAGGAGCGUCCUGGCAGCAGCGUGGAUUUCCUCCAGCAGCUGCAGGUUGCAGCAGAUCCUGCUUGUGGGAGCCCUGGGGACAGGCCUGGGAAUGCCAGCCUUCAGAAGGACUUGGUUUGGUAACAGACCUCUUUGAUUUCUGGUGGUCAGAGCAUUGGUUAUGGUCUUCAGAAACCCAAGGAAAGGCUUCAGAUCUAAACCCACAAAGGUUUCAAGCUCUCAAUUUAGGAGCUCCAGUGGAAGGUUAAUGUUUUUGCUGAUAGCAGCCUGUGAAUGAAAGCCCCUGCCCCGCAGUGCUAUCUCUAAGUAUCUGUCACUCUGCGUGCUUAGCAAGAGCAGAGAAUGGGAGAUACAACUUCUGAUUAAUGCCUCCAGGGAGCUUCCGCAAUACUGUUUUGCAAGCAAUUGUCAUUUAACAUUAAGGUAAAUACCUUGCAGCUAUGAACUAGAAAGCCCUUUUUUUCCUUUCCUUUUUGAAACAGCCUCUUGGCUUCACAAAGCUCUCGCUAAUGUUAAAACCACUUCUUUUUCUCUGCCGGCACUGCAGCCGCCCUGCUGGUACCCCAGAGCUUGCCCCGAGCUGGGGGCAGCCCAUGG